ensembl:snRNA U4 U4 spliceosomal RNA
AGCUUUGCACAGUGGCAGUACCGUAGCCAAUGAGGUUUAUCCAAGGCGGGAUUAUUGCUAAUUGAUAAAUAUGGUCUGUUUGAAGACAACUUUUCAUUUUCUUAACAAUGUCAAUUAAGGUUCUAAAUUUGGAUGGAAUUUCAUUUAUCAA